CUGACUGUGUUUAAUAGUAUCGGUCCUGUAGAGCAACCUUCUGAAAAGGUCAAAACAAAACACUGAAAGCCAAAUUCAUCUCUGGAACAACUCCAUUGACUUCAGAAGUGUUCCACCUGGGAUAGAUCCAGCCUUAACUAUUUCCAUUAAGAACUAUUCCAUAAUGCAGUGAUUCUCAACCAAGUUUACAUGGCAGCAUGGGGUGCUACAAGAUCAUUUGAAGGGUGCCAUGAGGUGCAAGGAGAUAAGCCAGGUGUGAGGAGAUAAGCAGGGGUAACUGUACAGGAUCAAGCCCUAAGAGAUGAGAGAGCCAAUUUGUUGUUCACUGCUCUAAAAUCAGCACUGUAAAGAAAAGAAAACCUUGGAAUGGCCUCCUUAAUCACAUUUGUGAUUCAGACACUUGAGAAAUCCAAGCCACUUUGAAAGAUGUUGUUCAGUAUCAACCGAUUUAGAGUUAGUGCAUGGUUUUGGUUUUGUUUGGGUUUUUUUAAAUGAGACAUCAGGAGCAGCAGACUUCCCUUUCACAUAUCGGUUCCACUUUUCUGGAGACACUUGACCACUGUCAUCCUUGGUGUAACACCAUAAUCUUUAACAAAUGGGAUAAAUGGAGCCCCAUAUGUCUCUGACAUCUGGGAAUUAUGAUUGUUUCCCUCUUUUCAUCCAUUUUUUAGGAUAUUGGACCUGGUUUUCUGUUUACACAGCACCCUGAGAUUUUUGUACAUAUGAGAUGUAAGUCAUGCAAUUAAUAUUGAACUAUAUGGCUGCAGUACAAUUCUGCAGUCAUUCAUAGCACAUAAAUUAAUUUAAAGUAAAACAAAAUAAAACACUAUAAAUAUUGUGCAAAGAAUCAAGUUGGAGAUUACUUUAUUAGGCACAUAGCAAUCUGUUCAGUUGGCUUUCCUGCUUACUAAACAUGGCAUCAGACUCCAUUUUGAAUGUAAAAUGAAGUUUUCUUUAUGUAGUGUCUCAUAUCAUCUAUUGUAUUCAUAUAGGGAGAAGCAGCUAUGCAAUGUCAUUUCAUAUUCCAAACAAUUUGCUAUAGGCAACUACAUAGUUACAUUGUACAAAUACAUUUACAUAAAUCAUUAUUAGAAUGUUUUAUCUUAGCAACUUUAUUUGGUUCCCAGAGCACAAAUUAAAUGCAUGCUUAAAGCAGAAUAUUUUAGAGACAGUUAUUCCUGAACUGUUUAUGAGACAGGAUUAGACAUUUCCAUCUAAUUUUUCAUUCAUAAUAUAAUUUCUUUAGUUUUCUUUGUACAUUUAAAAACCACAUGUCUGAUUUGCAGGAGUUUUCCUUGAAGCGAGCAAUAGAAUAGAUGACUAUGCCACAAUCUGUUCAUUCAUCAGUUUGUGUUUCCUUUGACUCACUGUGCAUUAUGUUCUAAACACUCAUUAGGAAAGGCCAAGAGUGAUAGUAAGUCCCACUAGCUGCUUGACAUUAUUAUUUUACAAGCAAACUGUUGUUGUUAAACAAAAUUUGCAAAUAAAGUCACUGGAAGAGAAAUCUAUUUCUAGUAAAUAUUCCUCUCUCUAGAUUAAUUGCAUUGAGCUAGUCCUCACUGGUUGAGAUAUAUAUUCCCUGUCCUCCCAUACAUUUCAUGGUGAAAUGCAGUCUUCUUAGUAUUAUGCAAUUAGGAAUGUGUUCCAAACAUGGCUGUCUUUACUUUGAAAGGAAUACUAGUCAGUAUAAAAGUACAGGACUUGAUUAUCAGGUCAUCAUCAUUCAGGUCAUACUUCUGCCCCUGUAACUACAAGGGGCCCCAUGGGUUAAGUGGACAUGGUGUUUUAUUCCCCCAUAGGCUUGUACCAGAUUCCUAAUCUCUGCCCAGGUGGGGGCUCCAAAAAUCACA